UACAGAGGGGGCAAGCGUUAUUCGGAAUUAUUGGGCGUAAAGGGCGCGUAGGCGGCUUGGCAAGUGGAUGGUGAAAUCCCUCGGCUUAACCGAGGAACUGCCGUCCAAACUGCUUCGCUUGAGACCGGGAGAGGUGAGUGGAAUUCCCAGUGUAGCGGUGAAAUGCGUAGAUAUUGGGAGGAACACCAGUGGCGAAGGCGGCUCACUGGACCGGUACUGACGCUGAUGCGCGAAAGCGUUGGGAGCAAACGGG
rnacentral:rRNA from 1 species